AAAUUUGACCGCUACCAGCAGACGUUCUGUGGACGCAGUUCUUUUGGAUGAAGGAAAUCUUGUUUUGAGAGAUUUGUCAAAUAAUUUGUCAGAGCCGUUAUGGCAAAGUUUUGAUCAUCCAGCUCAUACUUGGAUUCCCGGUAUGAAGUUGACGUUCAACAAGAGAAACAACGUCAGUCAACUUCUCACUUCAUGGAAGAAUAAAGAAAAUCCUGCACCGGGUCUCUUCUCCCUUGAGCUAGCACCAGAUGGAUCAAAUCAAUAUGUUAUUUUGUGGAAUAGGUCUGAGCAGUACUGGAGAAGUGGAACUUGGGAUGAUAAUGCAAAAAUUUUCAGCUUGGUCCCUGAAAUGACACUAAAUUAUAUCUACAAUUUCAGCUAUGUGUCGAAUGAAAACGAGAGCUAUUUCACCUACAAUGUGAAAGAUAGCACUUACACAUCUCGAUUCAUUAUGGAUUUUUCAGGACAGGUUAAGCAGAUGAAUUGGUUGCCUACCAACUCUUGGUUUCUGUUUUGGUCCCAACCAAGACAGCAAUGCGAGGUUUAUGCUUUUUGUGGUCAAUUUAGCACCUGCAAUGAGCAAACUGAGCGUUUUUGUUCUUGUUUGAAAGGUUUUCAACAAAAAUCGGUGAGUGACUGGAAUUUGGAAGAUUAUUCUGGUGGUUGUGUGAGGAAAACCCCGCUGCAGUGUGAAAAUAAUAGUCUUGCCAAUGGAAAAAGCGACCAAUUUUUGCAGUACAUUAACAUGAAUUUGCCUAAACAUCCACAAUCUGUGGCAGUAGGGGGUAUCAGGGAAUGUGAAACACACUGCUUGAAUAACUGCUCUUGCACUGCUUAUGCUUACAAAGACAACGCUUGCUCGAUUUGGGUAGGAAGUUUCGUGGGUCUGCAACAGCUACAAGGAGGUGGAGAUACCAUUUAUAUCAAGCUUGCCGCUUCUGAGUUCGAGAGUCCCAAGAAUAACAAGGGAGUAGUCAUUGGCAGUGUUGUGGGCUCAGUGGCUGUCGUAGCUCUUAUUGGCCUGAUCAUGCUUGUACACUUGAGAAGGAGAAAGACAGCAACUGUAACAACCAAAACUGUGGAGGGUUCUUUGGUGGCAUUUGCAUACAAGGAUUUGCAAACUGCCACAAAGAAUUUCUCUAAAAAGCUGGGGGGAGGAGGUUUUGGUUCAGUUUUCAAAGGGGUGUUGCCGAAUUCAAGUCUUAUAGCUGUGAAGAAGCUUGAAAGCUGGAGCCAAGGAGAGAAGCAAUUUCGGACUGAAGUCAGUACCAUAGGGAAUAUCCAACAUGUCAAUCUGGUUCGGCUUCUGGGUUUCUGCUCUGAAGGUACUAGUAGGUUGUUGGUCUACGAUUUCAUGCCAAACGGUUCUUUAGACUCUCAUCUCUUCACUGAAAAAGAUUCAGACUUUCUUGAUUGGAAGACAAGAUACCAAAUUGCACUGGGGACAGCCAGAGGUUUGGCUUAUCUUCAUGAGAAGUGCAGAGACUGCAUCAUACACUGUGACAUAAAGCCAGAGAACAUUCUGUUAGACGCUGAAUUUUGUCCCAAAGUGUCGGAUUUUGGGCUGGCAAAGCUUGUUGGGAGGGAGUUCAGCCGUGUCCUAACAACCAUGAGAGGAACAAGAGGUUACCUUGCACCUGAAUGGAUUUCAGGAGUGGCCAUAACAGCCAAAGCGGAUGUCUACAGCUAUGGAAUGAUGCUGUAUGAAUUUGUAUCAGGAAGGAGGAACUCCCAGGAAUCUGAAGAUGGUAAAGUGAAGUUCUUCCCAUCUUGGGCUGCUAAACAAAUAGUUGAAGGCAGCAAUCUCAUUAGCCUAUUAGACCCAAGACUGGAGGGCAACGCUGACGAAGAAGAGCUUGCAAGACUUUGCAAUGUGGCUUGUUGGUGCAUCCAAGAUGAUGAGACUCACAGGCCAUCAAUGGGUCAAGUAGUUCAAAUUCUUGAGGGAGUUUUGGACGUGACACUGCCUCCAAUUCCCAGAGCUCUCCAAGUAAUGGUCGAUGACCAUGAGCACGUAGUCUUCUUCACUGAAUCAUCCACAUCUCAGAGUUCCCUGUCAAAGAGCAACAAUUCAACUGCUUCAUCUCAAGCAAAGAGUACCACAUCAUCAAGAAGUUCUUAAAUCGAUGUGAAGAAAAUAUUUUAACAUUUGUGUUUAAGAAUAUAUAUUUGGUUUAUUUCACUUGUAACAACCUGUAUGCAUAUUUGGAUAGAAGCCUUGCUUCGUAGUGUAUAAUAAUAAUGCCCCCUGCCAAAGCAAUUUUAAGAAUCACAAGCCUUGUGCCUCGCUGUUCUCUCUAAUGAACUCUGAUUGAUCUAUGCUCCUCUGCAUUGACUAUUGGCUUCACCUAAUCGCUUCAAUUGGCAAAAUUAGGUAUUGAAAUGAAAGCGACUUGGAACUUGGAAGUUAUCCAGAAGAAGGGGAAAAACAGCAAAAACAAUCAAACAAACAAACAUAAACGUGACGUAGUAACAAAUAACAUGGGUCAAGAUAUAAAUCAACUGGCCAACAUUGUUCAAUAAACUUUUUCCAACAUCUAAACUUUUUCAACCGAACCUGAAUUUUCUUGAGAGUUUUUUUGAGGCAUCAUGAUUGGUAAGGAGCUUGAAGGCAAAGUUCAACAGUUUCAUGACAAAGUUACAACCAUCGAUGAAAAGGUUACGACCUUAGCCAAGCAAAAUAACGAUUUGCAGAAACUCAUGAAACAUCCUUCAGCAAUUGAGCCAGUUGCGAAAAGAAAAACAACCGACUACUGAUCAAAGACAAGUUGAUAUAUUUACUGGAGGGACCUCUGCUCCUCAAAUGGUAAUUGCUACCCAACCACCUCUUGAACCUGCCGAACGCAUUGGAAGUACUCUCAUGCAAGCUCGUAACAUAUGACUUGACUUUCUUAUUUUUCAUGGUGCCAAUCAAACGGGAUGGAUUUUUCGAUAUGAGCAAUAUCGUCGCCUUACUGGAUUAUCAGAUGCUGACUUAUUGUCCUUAGCUAUUGGCCAUCUUGAUGGUGAUACUGUACCUUGGUUUAAUUGGAUAGAGCAAACUAUGGGCGCAAUUUAAACGGGCUUUGACUACUCAAUUUGGGACAUUAGAAGAGAAUGAUGCAGUUGGCAGUCUUACCAAACUACGUCAAAUAGGGACCGUUCUUGACUAUCAACGACAAUUUGAAAAGUUGGCUAAUCAGACUAGAAAUUUAACUGAGUCUUUCUUUAUCAGUUGUUUCCUCUCUGGGUUGCGUGAAGAUAUCAAGGCUGGCGUACAACUGUUCAAACCUGUUAGUCUUGUACAAACUUUUGAACUUGCUAGGUUUAGUAAAAGACAAUUACUUUGCAAGGCAACUGUUCCCCUGUUCCUGCCAUCCAAGAUCUAGUCCCACAAUUACAGCCGACUCCUACUCCACCAACACCCUCUUUAUUAGGACUGAUUUCCUCUACCUUACCUAAUAAUGUCAAACGUUUAUCCUCAGCUGAGCAGACAGAAAGACGUUCUGAAGGGCUCUGUUUCAACUCUGAUGAGCAAUUCAAGCCUGAACAUCGUUGCAAACAAUCUCAACUAUUGCUUUUAGACGCUGCUAUACCUCUUCACAACCCUCCAAAACCGCCUGACCAUCAUUCGGAUUGGAAGAUCUCGAUUAUUGAGACUGGGUAAAAGGCUUUCAGACAAGCCUGUUUGAAGGGGCAGGGAAUGUUAGGACCCUAAUAAUUUAUUUUAUUACUUGUUUUAAUUUUUUUUCCUAUUAAUACUAGGUUUUCUUAUUUCAAUUAUGAAUUAAUGCUCUUAUUAAAUUACAAUUAGAACCGUCUUGAACUACUAUAAAUAAGUGGUUCUUAUUAUAUUUUUGAAGGAGCAACAAUAAAAUUAAUUCUAAUCUCAGUUAAUUCUUCUCUCUUCCCUCUGAAUUCUUAAAUUCUUCAUUUAUUUCUCCCUUAAUUCUCUAACCAAAACCUCAUAAUCCUACCAGUAACGGACUGCAUUACGUUCGAGAAGACGAUUUACACACACACAAGAUAAUAAAGGCAUUUAAAUCACCUAAUUAAGUUGUAUAGGGAUAAAUAAUUAAAUUACAAAAAGCUCGACAUAUACUGAAAAAUAAAAAAGAAAUUGAACAAAGUCAUAAAUUUAUUGACAUCUAAAUUCUGAAAAUUGGUGUGUGUCUUCAGUAGGGAAAGUUAUCAUUUACAUACGGUUAUUUUUAUUGAUAUUUAAUACCUCUAUUUUAUGUUCAAUUGGAAGGAAUUCUAGGCUGUUCAGUUUUCUACUUACGGUAUUAUCACGAUCGUUGUUAUUGAGAAAAUUGUGGCAAUUUUUUUGAUUGAUAAUGAUGAUUUUAGUACGUGGCAGGCUCGGUGAUGCUGUUAUUUCGCGGAGCAUUUGGAUGCCCGCUCUAUACUGGUGAUUUUCGCUGGGAAGCAAGUAAUCAGAGGGCCGAGAUAGGAAGGAACACGCUCGUCAAAGCUUUAAAAGAUGAUGUAGUCGACAUUCUUUAUUUGGAUAACACAUAUUGCAGUCCAUCAUAUGCUUUCUUGUUUGAGAACUUUAUAUAUCCAAACUGAUAUAUGAUAGCAGGUACACUUUUUAUAUUUUUCCUUUCUUGUUUGAGAACUUUCAGUUUCACUCCAGAAUUAUCUACUGAAUUAAAGAUUAAAAUGGGAGAUGAAAGAAAUAGUCCAGGUACUGAUUUGUAGUGUUAGUUAUCUGGAUGAAAACAGAUUGUUGACAUAAUUGCCUCCCAUCCAGAUCAUGACAUCAUCAUUGGGAUUGACUCACUUGGAAAAGAAAAACUUUUAUUUCACAUAUCGCAUAAGCUCAAUAUAAAGGUUUGCUCACCCUUUUAAUAUCGGAAAACCUUUUCUUACAUAACGAUCAUCACGAUGGUCUCUCCAAGGGGGAUGAAAUCGAUAGCAUAUAUACAGCAAAUUGACAUGUUAUCUAAUUUUUGGAUCACUUGUAGAUGAUUUAGAAGGAUUUUGAUAGUUUUUAUUCUUCUAACAUCUAAAAUAUGUUUUACUUUUUAGAAACUGGGCGGGUUAGAUUGUCAUUUGGUGGAUUUAAUUGUGGCCAAAUUCAUACAUGAAAUGUAUUGUCACACAUGUAUUAUUGGAUGCAUCCAAUUGUAUGUUCUUCCUCUUCAUGUGCCAUGAGAACUUAAAACUGCCCUCUUCAUCUCUUGCAAAAUGUUGUUUAGUCACAAGCAAGUGGAAUAAAAUUUUUGCAUUCAUUUCCAAAGCAGAUAUUUACUCUGUGUUUCUUGUUUCACAUUUCUUUUUUUUUUUAUAGAUUUGGGUGUGGCCAGAACGCCUGCAAACCAUGCAUCUGCUUGGCUUCCAUGACACAUUCACAACCAAAACUUCUCUUGCUAGAGUGCGAGCUGUUCCACGGUAUAGUUUUAGCAUUGAUACUUUAGAGAAUUUAAAUACAAUGCACCAAACCAUUGGAAUUAUGCCAUCUGGUCUUCCUUGGGUGGUUAAGCCUCUUAAAGGAGGUCCUGGUUCUCUUUUUGCUUCUUACCAAAGCAAAUGGAGAGCAACGGGUUGAACUCAGACUGAGAAACUAAAAGAAGCUUUGGGAUCAGUGGACAGGUUUCGUAAGUACAUAUAUUCAGUUCCAUAUUCUGAUCAGUCCUGCUUUGCAGGGAUAGAGGAAUUUUUAAACCGUGCCCAGCCAUCGAAUAUCAGAGGCAUCGUGUCUUCAUCGUCCUGUUAUGUUGACCCUCUUUACUACUUUGGCCACCUUUGCAGAGCAAAUCAACCAUCACUGAGGUAUAAGCAGCAACAGAGAGUGCAGCACAAAACAGUUGUAGCCGCCCAAAUGAAAUUCAUUGUUGAAAGUGGUAGAUCCACUAAGGUAGAUAGGAAACGAAGGACUGCGGAAGUAGGUAUUUUAGGAGUUCGCAUGAGUAAGGUGGAUGCCCUUAGGCGGGCCCGACGAGGUGCGAAGCUUGCUCGAAGUGAGAGUUCUGAUUAAUUAGUGUCAAAUAUCAAUAUCAGGUAAGCUUGAAAUUCUUGCGAGUAAUGUUGCCUGUAUCAGUUUGAAUUCAGAGUCUAUUGUAUGGUUGAAGAAUACAUAUGGUGGUGUAGGGUGUAAGAAAAAUAAUCUUUUAUUUAUUUAUUUAUUUAUCUUGGAUGUCUAAAGCGACGGCCUAUUAGUGCUCAUUAAAGAAAAUGGUUGUGCGAAAGCACUUCGUCUGGAUCAAUCAUUUGAUUGUUUACGCGGGAUAGUUAUAGCGACUUUUCAAACUCGUGGCCUUUAAACACAUUAUAGUUUGCAAUCGUGGUCUUUACUCUUUACUUGAUUUGCAAUGAGGUAAAGAAGUCAAAUGACGGACCAAGAUAUUAGUUGAAGAAGCCAUACUACGGAUACGUCGCACGAGGUAUAUGUAAUCCCACGACACCUGGCAAGCGGACCGAAUCCAUGCGACUAUAGUAGCAGAGUCCGAUUCUACCUGCAAUAUAGAAUGGCCGAGGUGAGCUGCAAGCUCUAAGCUCUCAUGAACAGCCAUAAGCUCUAUGUAAAGGAUCGGACGAUAACCUAGGAAUGAUCCAAAAGUGCCUAAGAGCUCUCCCCAAGAGUCACGUAAAAUGCCCCCUGAAGCAGCCAUCCCUGGGUUUCCCCUAGAGCACCCAUCCACUGUCAACUUCACCACCCCCGGAGGUGGUCGAAUCCGAGAAAUCAGCCGAAGUGGUCUCCUAUGCCGUGUAACAACACGCCAUCCGUCCACUAAUCUACUAUCCAGGACGCCGCGCAGUUGGGAUGUUUUAAAACCGAAAGCAAAGCUGGCCAGCUUAAGAUCUGAAACUACUCGAAAAAUGACCGCAUCUACAAAAAAUGCCAUUGAAUCAAAUCUGUAAGCAUUUCGGGCCUUCCACACGUGCCAGAGGAUGAAACAAGGAAGUAGAACUCAAAUAUGGUUUCGGGAAGGAGCACAGCGCCUCCAGUGGCGAAGCAGCGCAUGAGGGGAGCGUUAUCUUUACUUGAUUUGCAAUAAGGUAAAGAAGUCAAUUGGGUAAUUUUUUUCUGUGAGAGUGAAUUGCGGCAAACGUGAGCAAAUUUUGCAUCAUUGUGCAUUUUGUUGUAGAAUGAGGAGAGUCAAUUUUCCUGACUAUCUAGACGAGUCUUUAGUUGAAUCUCUCCAUGGCCAUAAGUGGCCGGCAUAGACCAAAUCCUGAAACUGGUCAUAGUCCAAUAUGCAGACCACUCUGACUAUGGUCAAGACACUGGAAAAUGGUGAACGUUAGCUAAGUUUUGAAAGUUACCAAAAUUUAAUAAUAUCAUGUUUCUGAUUUCUAAUCAUGUUUUUUAUUUUGAAGAUUUCAGUUUUGACAAUUUGACUAAAUAAAUAUGCGGGUUAAAAUUUUCAUGAUCUAAAAAAAUGUAACGAGAACUAAUAAAAUUUAUUAUUUUAUUACGGUUUAUAUCAUUUGAAAUGUUGAUUCAAUAUAAAUGAUAUGUCCGGCCUUGUGGUGGCUGGUGGGUGCAAUUUGAGAUGGUAAAAUUUUUUUAUUUUGAAGACAAGAUGUGAAUCCCAUUUAAUAUUAUUAUUAAAUUAAGCAGUAUAAAGAAGUUAAGCAACCCAAAACCAUAAAGAAGUCAAACAGGCUAGAAGCCGUAAAGAAGUCUAGAAGCCAUAAAGAAACCGAAUAUCAUAAACUAAAGAAAAGAUAAAAUAUAGAGUAAUAACAGCAGCAAAAAAACAGAGAACAGUAGCGCCACAACAGAUCUAAUACUUGUCCGUUUGUAAUCAUAUGUUUGCUGUUGUUCUUUGUUUAUUGCAGCUGCUAUUACUCUCAUUUUAGCUUUUCCUUAGCUUAUGAUCUUCGGUUUCUAUAUGGCUUCUUGGCUGCUUAACUUCUUUACGGCUUCCAGGCCGCUUGACCUCUUAACGUCUCCUAAGUGUUUGACUUCUUUAUGGUUUACCCCAAAAUGACCGAAGUGUUCCACAUUUAUGUAUUUUAAAGAGGUGCAACCUCAAGAUUGUAAUUUGUAAAGGGCAUAAUUGUCAGUUCAAUUAGCUUAGUUGACUUGGGGAAGGACUAUAACAUCGUUCUUCUUCUCUAUGUCGGUCUGUCUAGCUGUUGUCUUUCUCUUAUGAGCAAUAAAACAAUACAUGAUAUGUAAAUUAUUUUUCACUCAAGUAUCUAUCUUGAUAGCACAGAAUUUGUUGUUGUUGCAGCAGCCAUGGCAAUCAUCAAGAACAAUUCAUGGUUGAUGCUUUUUGUUCUUUUUACGUGCUUUUCACUCAAAUCCCAUGUCUCCUUCGGAGCUGACACCGUUUCUGCAAACCAAUCUCUCUCUGGCGAUCAAACGAUCGUUCAAGGCGGAUGUACGGUACAGCAGUUCCUUCACGAGAAGUUGCAGCUCAGCAGGUUCUCUUCGGUUUUAAGAAUCUCAGAUGGUAACUUAGUUCUUUUUAAUGAGUCCCAACUACCCAUUUGGUCCACAAAUUUGACCGCUACCAGCAGACGUUCUGUGGAAGCAGUUCUUUUAGAUGAAGGAAAUCUUGUUUUGAGAGAUUUGUCAAAUAAUUUGUCAAAGCCUUUAUGGCAAAGUUUUGAUCAUCCAGCUCAUACUUGGAUUCCCGGUAUGAAGCUGACGUUCAACAAGAGAAACAACGUCAGUCAACUUAUCACUUCAUGGAAGAAUAAAGAAAAUCCUGCACCGGGUCUCUUCUCCCUUGAGCGAGCACCAGAUGGAUCAAAUCAAUAUGUUAUGUUGUGGAAUAGGUCUG
rnacentral:lncRNA from 1 species